GUGAAGUUGACGAAAGAGUUAACAAUGGCAUUUUCACUGUGGAUGUGUUGUUGAGUAAAGAACGGAGGUGAGGGUGUGGACAUCAUUUUUUAAGUUGGAGGAAGAAGAUGAUUGCGGCCGGUGGUGGGAGAUCCCUUUUUUAAGAAGAUGAACAGUGGUUCAUCUUUUCCUUUUUUCCUUUUCUUUUUUCGUUUUUUUAUUUUCUUAUUUCUGAGAGAGAGAGAGAGUCUUUUUGAGAGAGCUACGUUGGCCCGUCCGUUUUGAGAGGUCAAAGGAAAAGAUUCUUUUCUUUUUUCGUGUGAGAGAGAGGGUCCUCAAAAUUAGCUGGAGAAGCCAACCCCCUUUUUUUAUCCUAUUUUCUUUUCCAAAAAGAAAUCCAGUCAUUGUUGGAUUGGGAGUACAAAAUCCAUUAGCUACUGCCUUCUCCUUA
rnacentral:lncRNA from 1 species